UACAGAGGGGGCAAGCGUUGUUCGGAAUUACUGGGCGUAAAGCGUGCGCAGGCGGUUUUGUAAGUCUGUCGUGAAAUCCCCGGGCUCAACCUGGGAAUGGCGAUGGAGACUGCAAGGCUAGAGUUUGGCAGAGGGGGGUAGAAUUCCACGUGUAGCAGUGAAAUGCGUAGAGAUGUGGAGGAACACCGAUGGCGAAGGCAGCCCCCUGGGUCAAAACUGACGCUCAUGCACGAAAGCGUGGGGAGCAAACAGG
rnacentral:rRNA from 1 species